GACGAACGCUGGCGGCGUGCUUAACACAUGCAAGUCGAACGGUAAGGCCCUUCGGGGUACACGAGUGGCGAACGGGUGAGUAACACGGGGGUGAUCUACCCUGCACUUCGGGAUAAGCCUGGGAAACUGGGUCUAAUACCGGAUAGGACCCUGGGAUGCAUGGCCUGGGGUGGAAAGCUUUUGCGGUGUGGGAUGGGCCCGCGGCCUAUCAGCUUGUUGGUGGGGUGAUGGCCUACCAAGGCGACGACGGGUAGCCGGCCUGAGAGGGUGACCGGCCACACUGGGACUGGGGUACGGCCCAGACUCCUACGGGAGGCAGCAGUGGGGAAUAUUGCACAAUGGGCGCAAGCCUGAUGCAGCGACGCCGCGUGAGGGAUGACGGCCUUCGGGUUGUAAACUUCUUUCAGCACCGACGAAGCGCAAGUGACGGUAGGUGCAGAAGAAGGACCGGCCAACUACGUGCCAGCCGCCGCCGUAA
rnacentral:rRNA from 1 species